CGGCCAUGUGCCUGGAGCACACGGUCCUGCGGGCAGCUAGCCAGGGUUGCCAAGGCUCCCACGGGAGGCAGAGGGGCUGGGCCCCAGGAGAGCAGCUGUUUCCACACUCACAGAACAGAAGCUACUCACUCAGAGUCAGUGCUGCCAGGUUAACAUCGGGGAAGUGAUUUGCCCUAGCCCAGAAGGGACAGAAAGGCCAGGCUGUGCACAUUUUGCUUGCAGUAACCUCCACGGAGCCCACAGCCCUGGGAUGCACCCUGCAUUGUCAUCUUUACAGUAACCAGCAUUAUAAGAAGAAUAGGGUGCGACUCUAUCUGCAUUAAUGAUUUAGGACACUGAGUUUCCAAUUCAAAGAAGAAAAUUAUUUUGAAGUUCAUCUCCAUUAUUGUGACAUUGGGGAUUGAACCCAGGAUGUUUGUACUAAACUGUAUUCCCAGACCUCUUUUAAACUGUUUUGUUUUGACUUUUUAAUUUUGAGACAGAGUCUUGCUAAGUUACUAUGUAUCCCAAAUUGGGGUGAACUUGAAAUCCUCCUGCCUCAGCCUCUCAGAUUACAGGCAAAAAAAGACAUGUGAAUAAAGAACUUAUUUCCAGACCCUCA